AAAAUCCAUUACGAUAAAGGGCCAGCAGCCCAUAUCGGCCCCAAGCCGUGCGCAGGCCUCCGCUAGGAUGUCGGCGAAGCGUCGGUAGGGGAGCGUGCAGGCCAGCCAUUGAGCCGCGAAAGUCCAAAGUCCCGGGUGCCGACGGCGUUGACGUUCCGGAAGGCAACACGGCUGAGCGCGUUACGUGAGCGCUCAGCCGACCCGGCGUGGUCUGAGGCCC
rfam:Microvirga sp. V5/3M plasmid unnamed3, complete sequence.